rnacentral:rRNA from 1 species
GACGAACGCUGGCGGCGUGCUUAACACAUGCAAGUCGAACGCUGAAGCUCAGCUUUUGUUGGGUGGAUGAGUGGCGAACGGGUGAGUAACACGUGAGUAACCUGCCCCCUUCUUUGGGAUAACGCCCGGAAACGGGUGCUAAUACUGGAUAUUCACUGGUCUUCGCAUGGGGGUUGGUGGAAAGGGUUUUUCUGGUGGGGGAUGGGCUCGCGGCCUAUCAGCUUGUUGGUGGGGUGAUGGCCUACCAAGGCUUUGACGGGUAGCCGGCCUGAGAGGGUGACCGGUCACAUUGGGACUGAGAUACGGCCCAGACUCGUACGGGAGGCAGCAGUGGGGAAUAUUGCACAAUGGGCGCAAGCCUGAUGCAGCGACGCCGCGGGAGGGAUGGAGGCCUUCGGGUUGUGAACCUCUUUCGCUCAUGGUCAAGCCGCAACAAUGGUUGUGGUGAGGGUAGUGGGUAAAGAAGCGCCGGCUAACUACGUG